rnacentral:lncRNA from 10 species
GCAUGUUGCUUUCCUGGAAGACUGAUUCAGGUGGCCUGGCUAUGCUGAUGGUUUCUAAAGGGAAGAAGUAGGAAGUAGGUCGUGAUUGUCCCAAGACAACACCUGGGGAAACAGUUGCUCUUCUAGAAGUGGAUUUCCUUAUUAUCGAGCCCCCAGAAGCCAGCAAGAAAUCAACAUGCCUACCUCAAAUAGUUCAACAAAGGGCAUCAUAGUCCUAAAGGCCUAAGGAUUUCUCAGAAGGAGUCAAGUACUCAUUCCUGCCAAGUACUCUCUCAGUCCUAGAAGCUACCCUCUGACAGGCACACACUCCAGCAAAGGAGGCUCUUCAAAAGGGCUGAGGCCAUGGAAAUCAGAGAGUAUGACUCUUCUGAAAAUCUAGAAGUUCUGGGCAUUGAACACAAGGACAUUGUACCCUCCUGACCUUGACUGACUAUGUGAGAAGGCAAGGUAUAGGAAAAUCAGACAUGUACCAAGGUCUUUUGAGUGUUCAUUAUGGGGCAGACUUUGGCUCAAUGCUUUAUAUUCAUUUGACUUUGAGGCCUAUGAGAUAAAUUUUAUGAUCCCCAUUUUACAGAGGAGGAAAUUGAGACACAGAGCUAAAGUGACUUGUCCAAGAUUAUACAGCUAGAAAGACCAGAUUUGAACCCGGCAUUCUUUACUGCUAAACUACUGUCUCCUCUAAUAACGACAGCAAUAAAAAAUACUCAAAGUUGAGGAACUAUAGUAGGCAGUUGUGGAAAUCUGGACCUGAGGUCUAAACAAAUGACUACAAGUUCUAUGCUUUCGUUUGUUAGCGUGGCGAUCUCGGACAAGUCAUUUGACUACUUUGAGUGACAACAUACUGGCUUGCAAAGUGGGGGUAAUCACUCUUUCUACUUCACAGAUAAGGCUAAAAAGAUUAAAAGGGGAAUGCACAGUGGUUCAAGCCUGAAAUCCCAACACUUUGGGAGGCUGAGGGGAAGAUUGCUUGAGACCAGGAGUUGAAGACCAGCCUGGGCAACAUAGCAAGACCCCAACUCUACAAAAAAAUUUUAAAAGGUAAUGUGCACCUGUAGUCCCAGCUACUCGGGAGUUUGAGGCAGGAGGAUCACUUAAGCCUAGGAGUUUGAGGCUGCAGUGAGCUAUGAUUAUGUCACUGCAAUUAAGCUUGGGUGACAGAGCAAGUCCCUGUUUUUGUUUUGUUUUGUGUUUGCUUUUUAAUUAAGAGGCACAAUGUAUGUGAAGUGUUUAGAAUUGAUUCCUGACACAUAAUAAGUAUUCAGUAAAUGUUAAGUCUCCAUCAUUGUUGUUAUUGUUGUUGUUACUAUCAACGUCUUUCCUCCAGAGUUGUUGCCAAGUUCACAUGAGAUGAUGCCUGGGAAAGCUCUGUGCUGUGCACCUGUCAGUAAUCCCCUUUAUUACAAUGAUAGCAACCUAAGGGAUAGAGUUAUUUGUGAAGGUCUAACCCUAUUCCUCCCCCAAAUGGUUCAAAUUCUUUGUAUUGCAGCCAACACUGAUGACGAGUGAGGGUUUGACUUGGUGCCCACUGUGAAUGACGUCCUUCAGUAGAUCUCCAAGAACUGCAGCAAAUGCUUUUCUGGGCUUAUUUUAGCAUCAGAGGGCCUUUGAAGCAGGAUUUCAACAUUUAGCUUCAUUGUUUGGGGAUGGUGCCUUGCAUUUAAUGUAGGUUUACAACUUGAGCCUUCCUUCCUCUCAUCAUCUUGAGAUACCAUGAAGGCAGGUCAGGGAUGUGGUUGGCAGAGACAUAUCUUCAGAUUCAAAUGAAUUCUGUUGUUGAUUGUUAUUGAUUUUGAGAGUAAUAAGUGCUCACUAUUAAAAAAACUGGAAAAUGUAGAAAAC